rnacentral:rRNA from 1 species
GCACAAGCGGUGGAUGAUGUGGAUUAAUUCGAUGCAACGCGAAAACCUUACCUACCCUUGACAUGUCAGGAAUCCCGGAGAGAUUUGGGAGUGCUCGAAAGAGAGCCUGAACACAGGUGCUGCAUGGCUGUCGUCAGCUCGUGUCGUGAGAUGUUGGGUUAAGUCCCGCAACGAGCGCAACCCUUGUCAUUAAUUGCCAUCAUUCAGUUGGGGCACUUUAAUGAGACUGCCGGUGACAAAACCGGAGGAAGGUGGGGAUGACGUCAAGUCCUCAUGGCCCUUAUGGGUAGGGCUUCACACGUCAUACAAUGGUCGGUUCAGAGGGUUGCCAACCCGCAGGGGGAGCCAAUCUCAGAAAGCCGAUCGUAGUCCGGAUCGCAGUCUGCAACUCGACUGCGUGAAGUCGGAAUCGCUAGUAAUCGCGGAUCAGCAUGUCGCGGUGAAUACGUUCCCGG